UUCUAUUAUUACAUUUUGCUAACAAAUCCCAGCGAAUCAAAUUAGGCCCUUACCGGACAAAGGAGGUGAUGGGGAUUACUGUUCUGAAAUCCCACGGCAUAUCCACGGGCCCGAGUUGGUAUUGGCUCGGCAUCAUUGGGCUGAUUGGCUUCACGGUUCUGCUAACAUCCUCUGCAUAUUGGCUGAGCUAACACUCUUGAAGGGUUUAGUCGAGGAGAUCAUGGACUUAGUCGAGCCAACACCCCCGAGGGAUGUAAUUGUUAGGUUCCUGAUUUACGCGAGCUUUCCUUGGAGCAGAGGUAGAGGCUCAUUACUGGAGUUGAGUUUGUUGCAAAUCUGUCGAUGAUCUUCAUGCAUGAGCCGAUUUGAGGCCUAGACACUCGAGCAGCUGCAAUUGUAACGAGAACCAUAAGAAGCAAAGUAGAUACAGGAAGGACUGUUGUAUGCACAAUCCAUCAGCCAAGCCUCGAGAUAUUUGAGUCCUCUGAUGAGUUGCUCCUCUUAACCUGAGGCAUCGAAGAAAUAUAUGUUGUCCCCUUUGGGGCAACAACCACUGUUCGGAGAUGACAGAGUAUUUUGAGGAGAAAUAAAGCAAUGAUCGAAGAACUGAGAACACCCUCAUCUGGUUCUCAGAGCUUCACUUCCGUACGAAAUACUCGCAAUCAUUUGUUUCUCAAUUUAAAGCUUGCCCGUGGAAGCAGCAUAAGUCCCUACUGGAGAAAAACUUUCGUGCAUUUCCAUUCCACCAGAUUAGCCUUCACCCAACACUAGCCCUGAUUUUCGGGAUCCUGUUCUCGGAUCUUGAUUUUAAGAGGUGUGCCUGUUGUGAUUUCUGAAAGGGCUGCUUACUACUGAGAGAGGGGCGCUGGAAUCUACAUUGCUUUGCCGCAUUCCCUUGCACAAUUACUUCGUUUUCUUUUUCCCACCUGCAAAAAUUACCGAGGAGGACAGCCAACCCAAGUACGUCAUUAUUUCUUAGAAUAUUUAAUUUUGGUGCGGCAUUUUUUUCAUUUUCUUUUUCUUUCUUUCACAUAUGUACAGGUUGUCAUAGAAAACCCGUAUACUCUGAUUCAAGCUAUGAUAUGCAGGAUCAUAGAGUAUGCGAUGAUUGGAUCCAAAUGGACUGCGAGGAAUUUCUUCUCAGACUUGUUUUUCAUCUCGCCAUCCUUUCUUAACAUCUACGGGGAUGAUGUUCAAUAACUGCAAGUCCAAAGCGAGCAACUGCUGCUGUAUUAUAUGGUCUCAUCUACACAAUGUGGAGUCCCUUCUCGGCUUCGUGAUCCCUCUAGAGUUGAAUUAUGUCUCACCUCCUCGCAUUUGUUCUUGUUCUUCAGCGCUUGUCAUUAGACUAGAAACAGUCAGAGCAGGUCAUCUACUGAAAAGCAUCUCGGUUUUUUUCAUAAACAAA